rnacentral:rRNA from 1 species
UCAUUAAGCCUACUACAUAUUGAAUCUUUGCUCAGAUUGAAUAAGU